CAAAAGUUAAAUUACCAUAUCGUUUCACCCUAAAUAUCCAAAUUUUUUUCUAAAAGUUAAUUAAUAAAUAUUUCUAGUAAUAUCUUAUAACAAACAACUUUAUUUAAAUGAUAAAUUUAAAAGGAAACUCAAAAGCCCAACGAAAUACUGAUAAUUACACGUUUACACCAAGUACAGCAUAAAUAAACCGUUGCUUUAUUCACCCCUGUUUCCGGAGCAAUUCUCACAUAUUGAAUAAACUGGAUGCCGUUAGGAAAAAACUCCUUUCUUUACUAUCUUGAGGAUAUUCCCACGACAGCCGAGUCCCGAUUUUUUUAUCCGGUGAAGGAUAGCCAACUUGGCAGAAUUCUGCCACCACAACAUCAACUAGCAAGAAGAAGAAAAACAUAGAGCAGUUAAUAUGUGCAUUUAAUUGGUGGUGGUUGGUCGCUGAAAAUAAUAAAUAUAAACAACUGAAUUGAAAUUUGGACCUUUCUCAAAAUCAUAUUAGUUGGAAAAAUGUUUAUCCGAACUCCGCUCUUUAGCUACCGGAACAUAUCAAACCUCAAGUAGCUUACUCUUAUCUCUGAGGUUAUGUAAAUUACUUAUCACUCAGUCAAUAAACUGUUGUAAAUUUUAUUA